CAGCUCGUGUCGUGAGAUGUUGGGUUAAGUCCCGUAACGAGCGCAACCCUUGUCCUUAGUUACCAGCACGUUAUGGUGGGCGACUCUAAGGAGACUGCCGGUGACAAACCGGAGGAAGGUGGGGAUGACGUCAAGUCAUCAUGGCCCUUACGGCCUGGGCUACACACGUGCUACAAUGGUCGGUACAAAGGGUUGCCAAGCCGCGAGGUGGAGCUAAUCCCAUAAAACCGAUCGUAGUCCGGAUCGCAGUCUGCAACUCGACUGCGUGAAGUCGGAAUCGCUAGUAAUCGUGAAUCAGAAUGUCACGGUGAAUACGUUCCCGGGCCUU
rnacentral:rRNA from 1 species